AUCACCAUGUGUGGGGGCAGAAACUACUUCCACUCUUACCUUCCAUACUGCAUAACUGCCAGGAGCUCAACAAUCACUGUAUGUCAUAAAAACACAGAGAAAUUGUUCACAAUGAUGGAAUGACAACCCGUCAUAACCAAUAGACAACUUCUGCCUCACACUUAAGGCCCCAAAGGAACAAGAAUAAAAGCAAUACUUAGAUUAUCAGGAACUACAAUGCCAAUGAAGGAAUGACAACCAUCAUUGUUGUCAACAACAUGUCAACAACAUCAACAAAUAGAAAGCAUUCCUCCAUUCAUCACUCCUUCUGGAACAAGGAAUGACCACAUGAGAACACAGUGAGAAGACAGCUAUCUGCAAGCCAGGAAGAGAGCCCUCACCUGCAACUGAAUUGGCCGGCCCCUUGAUCUUAGACUUCAGCCUCUGGAACUGAAGUAACAGAAUGAAAAAUACAGUCUUGAUGUUAUCUUUUGA
rnacentral:lncRNA from 10 species